rnacentral:rRNA from 1 species
UACGUAGGUGGCAAGCGUUGUCCGGAUUUACUGGGUGUAAAGGGCGUGUAGCCGGGUCGACAAGUCAGAUGUGAAAUCCUGCGGCUUAACCGCAGAACUGCAUUUGAAACUGUUGAUCUUGAGUACUGGAGAGGCAGACGGAAUUCCUAGUGUAGCGGUGAAAUGCGUAGAUAUUAGGAGGAACACCAGUGGCGAAGGCGGUCUGCUGGACAGCAACUGACGGUGAGGCGCGAAAGCGUGGGGAGCAAACAGG